rnacentral:rRNA from 1 species
AGAGUUUGAUCAUGGCUCAGAACGAACGCUGGCGGCAGGCUUAACACAUGCAAGUCGAACGCGUGUAGCAAUACACGAGUGGCGCACGGGUGAGUAACGCGUGGAUAUCUGCCUUUUGGUUCGGAAUAACCCCGGGAAACUGGGGCUAAUACCGGAUGGUUCCUUCGGGAUAAAGAUUUAUCGCCAAAAGAUGAGUCCGCGUACGAUUAGCUAGUUGGUGAGGUAAUGGCUCACCAAGGCGACGAUCGUUAGCUGGUCUGAGAGGACGAUCAGCCACACUGGGACUGAGACACGGCCCAGACUCCUACGGGAGGCAGCAGUGGGAAAUAUUGGACAAUGGGGGCAACCCUGAUCCAGCCAUGCCGCGUGAGUGAUGAAGGCCUUCGGGUUGUAAAGCUCUUUUGGCGGGGACGAUGAUGACGGUACCCGCAGAAUAAGCCCCGGCUAACUUCGUGCCAGCAGCCGCGGUAAGACGAAGGGGGCUAGCGUUGUUCGGAAUUACUGGGCGUAAAGCGCGUGUAGGCGGUUAUCCAAGUCAGGUGUGAAAGCCUUGAGCUCAACUCAAGAAAUGCACUUGGUACUGGGUGACUAGAGGACCGGAGAGGAUAGUGGAAUUCCCAGUGUAGUGGUGAAAUACGUAGAGAUUGGGAAGAACACCAGUGGCGAAGGCGGCUAUCUGGACGGUUUCUGACGCUAAGACGCGAAAGCGUGGGGAGCAAACAGGAUUAGAUACCCCAGUAGUCC